rnacentral:rRNA from 1 species
AUUGAACGCUGGCGGCAUGCUUUACACAUGCAAGUCGAACGGCAGCGCGGGCUUCGGCCUGGCGGCGAGUGGCGAACGGGUGAGUAAUAUAUCGGAACGUACCCAAGAGUGGGGGAUAACGUAGCGAAAGUUACGCUAAUACCGCAUACGAUCCAAGGAUGAAAGCAGGGGAUCGCAAGACCUUGUGCUCCUGGAGCGGCCGAUAUCUGAUUAGCUAGUUGGUGAGGUAAAGGCUCACCAAGGCAACGAUCAGUAGCUGGUCUGAGAGGACGACCAGCCACACUGGAACUGAGACACGGUCCAGACUCCUACGGGAGGCAGCAGUGGGGAAUUUUGGACAAUGGGGGCAACCCUGAUCCAGCAAUGCCGCGUGAGUGAAGAAGGCCUUCGGGUUGUAAAGCUCUUUUGUCAGGGAAGAAAAGGUCGUGGCUAAUAUCCACGACUGCUGACGGUACCUGAAGAAUAAGCACCGGCUAACUACGUGCCAGCCGCCGCCGUAACAC